AAGAGUUUGUCUGAAAUUGAAGCUCCCCAGCGCUACUACGUAUCCGCAGGGAAUAAUCAAUUCGACCUCAAAUCAGGUAGGAGUACCCGCUGAACUUAAGCAUAUCAAUAAGCGGAGGAAAAGAAACCAACCGGGAUUGCCUCAGUAGCGGCGAGUGAAGCGGCAAAAGCUCCACUUUGAAAGCGUUUCGACGCGUUGUAGUGCGGUUCAGUCUUUGAGUGACGGAUGACUAAGUCCCCUGGAACGGGGUGCCAUAGAGGGUGAGAGCCCCGUGAGUUGUCUUUUUAGCUCUUUAAGUCUUUACCAAAGAGUCGAGUUGUUUGGGAAUGCAGCUCUAAGUGGGUGGUAAAUUCCAUCUAAGGCUAAAUACCGGCGAGAGACCGAUAGCGAACAAGUACAGUGAUGGAAAGAUGAAAAGCACUUUGAAAAGAGAGUGAAACAGUACGUGAAAUUGUUGAAAGGGAAGGGUAUUUGGCCCGACAUGGGUUCUGUGCACCGUUGCCUCUUGUAGGCGGCGCUCUGCUGGAGCCUGGGCCAGCAUCAGUUUUCCGGCGAGGAUAAGAAGUUUUGAACCACAUUGUGGGGAUGAGUUUGAUGCUCGCAUGGGGGACUGAGGACUGCCGUUGUAGGAUGCUGCUCG
rnacentral:rRNA from 1 species